GCAAGUCGAGCGGUAACAGAGAUAGCUUGCUAUCUGCUGACGAGCGGCGGACGGGUGAGUAAUGCUUGGGAAUAUGCCUUUGAGUGGGGGACAACAGUUGGAAACGACUGCUAAUACCGCAUAAUGUCUACGGACCAAAGGGGGGGAUGUUCGGACGUCUCGCUCAUAGAUUAGCCCAAGUGAGAGUAGCUAGUUGGUAAGGUAAUGGCUUACCAAGGCGACGAUCUCUAGCUGGUGUGAGAGGAUGAGC
rnacentral:rRNA from 1 species